AUACAUGUACUCCAACAAUAAUAGAAACAAUUGGAUAGUAGCGAAUAAAUUCACGAAAACUUUCUGUUCUUGUAAACAUACUGAACCUCCCACAGGACGAUACAAACAUCAUAGCCU
rnacentral:antisense_RNA from 1 species